AGAGAUUUUUUAAAAAAUUACACUAUCACACUCCGGUGAUAGGAUACCAACUUUGCUUUUAUUUCCUAAUUUGUCCAUACUGAUUCUUUCCCUUUUCCCCCAUCUUAAUUUUUAGGCAUACCCGAGAGAAAAUACUUUCAGAGCUGGAGAAGGUACAAAAGAGGAGACUUUAAAAUGGGGAGCCAAUACCACCAGUUUCCUAAAACCAUGGAGCCCAAAACAGAAAAGAAUGUUUCAGGGGUGCUCGCUCCAGAGUCUCAAAAUUUCCUUCCUACUUUUUGAUGAGAUUUUUCUGACAAUGAAGGCAUUGAAGGCAUUCCCCUACAAUGAUUACAUUUUCUUCAUUAGAAA